rnacentral:lncRNA from 1 species
AACUAUCAUCGGACAGUUGCUAGAAAAUCUUUCUUUAAAUAAAAAUCUUACAAUUAACCGAGCUUUACAACAAAAUGCUUAAUACUUAUAUUUUUCCCAAAUUAAAUUUUAUUACACAUUUCUUUAUGAAAACCAAAUACAUAAUUUGCAAAAAGUAAAACAAUUUGAAAUUUAAUUUGAUUUAUUUAUUUAACAUAUAUUAUGACGAAAUCUUUGCUUAAUCAAAGUCGAAAAACUGUUACUUUAAUCCAAGAUUUUAAGAAAAAUUUUCUUGAAAUUUUCAUUGUCUACAGGGUUAUUCGAGCUCACUCUCAGUUCUUUUAUACAAGUUCUAUUCUUGUUAAAAUACUUUUAUCGUACACUAGCGCAAUUAUUUAAAUAGCUCAUUUACUAUGGACAUUCCUGCACUAUUAGUUAUCUUACUCUAUAGGAACCUCCACACUUUCUAUUUAAUCGUAGUCCCUACGUCUAAUCUCAUUCCUUAUCUUAACAUAUAUCAUUAGAAGUUGACUUCCCUAGUACAUCUUUUGCUUUUCAAUUGUCUAUUUCACGUAUGUUGCUUACUAAUUCAUCCUAAGAAUAUCGAAGCGUACUUUUUAAUUAUUCCAUCUAUUAUUAAUCAUCAUUUAUCUCAUUAACAAUAUUUCAUCCAAUACCUUUUAUUACUUGCCCCUACUAUUUACCUUUUACCUCAUACCUAUCAACAUAUAAAGUCUUCAAUGAAAUUUCUUACAUCUCGACUUAAUGUUGCCUUACCAGUCAAAUAUUACAUCGAAUAAAUAAGCAUUAAUCAUUCUACUUCCUUUAUUAAAUUACGCGUCAACUAAAUAAUUUAUUCGUUUCUAUAUAGAAUUUCAAUUUCUGCCUUAAUUAUGAAAUAGUAAUAAGGCCCUAAUUCAUCUUCAUAUUACAUAAGUUAAUUGUUUAAUUUUUUCCAUCCAAGUUUUAAAAUAUAAUAUCAAUUUAUCUAUCUCAACUUUUCUUAUUUAGUCUAACAAGUUAUUUCUAACUUCCUUUAACCUUAUCCACUCUAGUUUCUCAGGUUAGCACAAGGCUAUCUGGUGUUAUCAUCUACACCUCGACUUAAUUUAGGUCUUUCCUCCUUUUGUUGGCACGUCAAAAUUUUUUUUUUAUCAAUUACCUUACGAUUCACUUCACUGGGUUAUUUCUUCUCUUUUCUAUAAAGAUUUCAAUUUAUACAUUUUAAUAUUUAUCGAAGAGCUCGGAGAAAUUGUCACAUAUUUCAAUUGAACUCCAAAACAUCCCCUAGAGUUGAAUAAUUGUCUUAUGAUCUGGCAACUACCCAAAAAUUUAAAUUUUAAAUAUCACGUCUCUCUAGUUCUGAUGUGUCACAAUUCAUUAUAAUCUAAAAGGCAUAAUACUUCAAAUUUCAAUUCUUAAUGUAUCUAUCUCUAAGUAUCAACGAGAUAUUAGGUUCUAUUUCAAUAAAUUCAUUUAUAUUAAUAGUCUACAACACUAGCUGUCUCAUACUGUGAAUUUCAUCGAAUGAGUGUACUAACUAAGAGUUUGUAAGUAAUUUCCACGUUCUCCUUUAUUAAUAUUCUCAAUACACAUUAUAUUCCAUCCAUUUGAUUUGUUAGAUUCAUCAUUUAAUCCAAAAUUCUACUAAUGAGUUAACAACGACCGACUAGCUUGACCAUUCUAUGGGUAACUGGCUAUUUAAAAACUUUCAAAAUAAUUUUCCCUUCCCACUUUAAAAAAAAAAUAUCGGCAUGUCACUCACACAAAACUUUAAAAUUCUUGUAUCCACUUUUAUUUCAUUUCAAAACCAAUCUCAAUCGUGGUAUAAAAAUAUUUUCAUGAAGUUUGAAAAUCAAUACUCAUUGUAUUUCUAAAACUUUUUGGUAUUUAAUAAAAAUAAAUUGUCUAUCUCCACAAGGACAAUCCUUAAAUCAUCUAGUUUCAGUCUAUUGUUACAUAUUUCAUCCCUAAUUGAUCCUCUGAAACCAAGCAUAUUCUAAUCUUCAUCAUUACUAUUCCUUUCGCUAUUUUUAAUCUCCCAAAUAGACUGGUCCACACCUUAAAUUUUUCCAANNN